UUUUUUUUUGUGAUGGGUUGGGAGCAUUUAGGUUAAUCAAUCAUAAGCAAACAGACUCUUACAUGGUUUGGAAUACAUAAUAUAAUAAGUAGAGCUGGAUACAACAAUUAGAUAUUAUUGACACAAAGGAGUUGGGAUUAACGAAAAAGCCGACUUUGCCCAAAAAGGUCUACUACAGAAGGAGAAACAAUUUACACCAAGUUUAGUGUUAAAGAAGCUCUUAGGGAAGCAAAGAACCAAAUAUUCAAUAUGUGGAAUGAGAACUAUAAGCUAAAAUGUAGAACUAAGGGCACGAAUCUAGUCGAUUAUUUCCCAGAAAUACCCAAAAAACCGUGGCACUACAGUUGCAAAUGGAAGGCCAAAAGUAUUAAAAUGAUAAACAGAGUAAUGACAUACGACAAACCCUUUUUGUUCAAGAUCAAAGCUGCAGACUCGGAUAAUUGUGAUCUAUGCAAAGUUAUAGAAAAUGCUGAACACUUGAUUUUAAAUUCCAACGGUUCACAAACCUCAGUGGUAAGUUUCGUAUUUUUAAAUACUAUAAUAAUCUAAGAUAAUAACAAGUGUAUGGGAAGACGCUCAUGCGCUUGUUGAUGCUUUAGGAGUCCAGCAGUCCACAAAUGAAUCCGGUGUUUAAAGCGGAGUCGUUGUACUAUCCACAGUCCACUGGCCAUCAAGAGCCACUUUUAAACUGAAAAUAUAGAAGUUGCUCCUUUUAUAUCCGGUACUCAGUCAGUAUAUUUUACCUUAUUGUUAUCUUUAGGUUGGUUGAUCUGAUAGAUAUGGCCAAUCCCUACAGAAAAGUAUUUUUAUACCCGGUACUCGAAGAGUAAAUAGAGGUAUAGAGGUAUAUUGUAUUUGUGCGAAUAACGGCUGUAUGUAACGCACAGAAGGAAACGUUUCCGACCCCAUAAAGUAUAUAUAUUCUUGAUCGGCAUCAAUAGACGAGUCGAUAGAGCCAUGCCUGUCUGUCCGUCUGUUCGUCUUGUUUGUCGGCUAGUUAUCAGAGACUAUAAGAGCUAGAGCCACCAAAUUUUGGCUCCAGACUGCUGUAUGCUCACACUGAAAUCAGUGUAUUUAAAAAAUAAGCCACGCCCCCUUCCGCCCCCGCGAAAGGGCAAAAACCUCCCAAAUCUAAAAUUUUGAAGAUAAAAGAAAACUAAAAACGCCAUUCCGUAUGGAAUGGCCAUAUCUAUCAGAUCAGCAAGUUGGGAUCCGAUUGGAUCAUUAUUGUAGCCAGAAUGAAGAAAUUAAUUUGCAGUGGCUAAACCCACUCUGUCCCGCAGCUCUUGUUGUUCUUUUCACGUUCUCUCAUUCACAUUCUGCUUCUUCUUCACUCGGCCCCUGCCUUUGCCGUCCUUCUGCCCAUGCCUCUACCGACUUUUAACCCACCCCGUCCAGCAGCUUAUAUUUGUUUUUUUUUGUGUGCGGGCGCUGCCUCUGCCUCUGCCUCUGCCGCGAGUUUGCAGUGUGUGGGUCUAGGGAAGGGCGGCGAGCUAACGGAGCGUGUUGGUGUGAGAAGUGUUGUAGAUGUAGAUGACAGAUGAAGAACUAAUUUAAAAUUUGACAAAACACCGCUAAGGUGCAGAUGUAGUACUGAGUGCCGGGUAUAAAAGUUGUGACGCGUAAGAAGCGUCUCACACGUCCCUUCUCGUUAUUUUUCUCUUGUCUUCAAAAGUGUGGACUCAGCAGAUUUUCACUCUUUGUGGGAGCUGAAGAGAGCGGGGUAAAAUUUUCACAUACACUUGAGCAUACAGAGGUCUGGAUGCAAAACUUGGUUGCCCUUUUAUGGUCUCUGAGUACUAGGCGCUCAUAGGGACGGACGGAAAAACAGACACGGCUUUAUCGACUAGGCUAUUGAUGCUGAUCAAGAAUUUAUAUACUUUAUGGGGUCUAUUUACUCUUCGAGUACCGAGUACUUGGCCAAAUUUGGUAAAUAGGGAAUAUUGUAUUUGUGGUCUGAGCAAUGUGCGCACAGAAGGAAACGUUUCCGACCCUAUAAAGUAUAUACAAAUUUUUAUAGGCAAAAUACCAAAUAUAACAUUUUCUUUACAUCCAUAAAAUUGAGUUGGGUAUUGCUAUUAGCAGAGGAAACUAUUGUCUAAAAUAUCAGAAUAAACGCUUAUACAUAAAGAUAUAAUAACAAAUAAAUAAGAAGGACGUGUGAGACGCUUCUUAAGUGUCGCAACUUUUAUAUCCGUUCAGCCAGUAUAUCUGUACCUUAUUUUCGAAUUUUUAAAUUUACAUUUUAAAAUUUUUGUACAUCUGUUUUCUACAUCUACAUCACUUCUCACGGAAACACGCUCUUUUAGCUCGCCUCCCUCCCCUGCAGCCACACACUACACGAAGCAGAGCGUGAGAGAAUUUGCAAAAAAUAAGAAUAAACUACUCGGCAUUUGCCACUGCAAAUUAAUUUCUUCUCUUCUGUUCGACGGUGAAACAGGGGCCUUGCAUCAAUGCUGGAAAUGUUUCCACAAUCCAAUACAACCAAUUGAAUAAUUAAAAAUAAAUUAAUAAAAUGUAAACCCACACAAAUAUUAUUUAAUGUCAAAAACAGCUCCCUCAAAAGCAACUUAAAUAAAAAACAUUAACAACAGUGAUUAACAG
rnacentral:lncRNA from 1 species